rnacentral:rRNA from 1 species
AUUGAACGCUGGCGGAAUGCUUUACACAUGCAAGUCGAACGGCAGCACGGGGGCAGCCCUGGUGGCGAGUGGCGAACGGGUGAGUAAUACAUCGGAACGUGCCCGGUCGUGGGGGAUAACGUAGCGAAAGUUACGCUAAUACCGCAUACGAUCUGAGGAUGAAAGCGGGGGACCUUCGGGCCUCGCGCGAUCGGAGCGGCCGAUGUCAGAUUAGGUAGUUGGUGGGGUAAAGGCCUACCAAGCCGACGAUCUGUAGCUGGUCUGAGAGGACGACCAGCCACACUGGGACUGAGACACGGCCCAGACUCCUACGGGAGGCAGCAGUGGGGAAUUUUGGACAAUGGGCGCAAGCCUGAUCCAGCCAUUCCGCGUGCAGGACGAAGGCCUUCGAGUCGUAAACUGCUUUUGUACGGAACGAAAAGGCUCUGGCUAAUACCUGGGGCUCAUGACGGUACCGUAAGAAUAAGCACCGGCUAACUACGUG